UUUGGAGCAUUUCUGGUGUUCUUGACCAUUUCUUUUCUCUGGAAGGGGAUUAUGGUGGCGCCCCUGUUCCUGCCUAUAUAUAUAUAUAGAGAGAGAGAGAGAGAGAGAGAGAGAGAAUAUUUUAAGAGGUGAUCAUCGAUCUUAAUAGCACGGUUGAGGCUCUAAACCAUAGAUAACAACCGGGAAAUGUGUCAUAGAUUUUGGAGCAAGGAAAUGAUUUGUGUCCUUGGUGGUGGAAGGAUGACUGUUUGGGUUGGUGGUGGGGGGUGGUUGGCACACAAGAUCAGGAAAGUGCGCAUACCAUUAUAAAAUCGCUGUAGCUCUCUUUUUGGUUCCACUUUAUUUUGUUCUAUUUUUAUUUGUAUUCCACUCUCUUUUGGUUAUCUUCACCGGUAACCUCUACUAUUUCUUGAAAUGCGACAGAUCAGGAAAAUGCAUGUACAAUUAUAUUCUAUUCUUUUUGAAUCGUCUAUUAUUUCGUGAAAAAGUCAUAUACAUGGCCGCACUGACAUUUGUUUCGUAAUGCAUUGUGAAAAUUAGUAAUUUUUUCUUCUCAAUCCCAGGUUCAGUUUACAGCAAUAUGAUUACUCGAUAUUCUACCCAGUCUCAGCUUAUGAAUUCCAGUUCCCGCAGCCAGUUUGAUACCACCUCUUUUACUCAGCCUGACCAGCAGGUUAACCUAUCAUAUGAUAAUAGGAUUGGGGAUGCCCUUGGUCCACCUCUGUCACCAUCAUUCGAAGCUGGAAUCUCUUCUAUUCAGCAAGCGAAUCUUAUUCCUUAUGAGGACUGGUCCCAUAAUUGGGUGAAGGGUGUUGAUGACUCCUUACCUGAAAUGCUUGAAAAUGAUGAUAUGCAGCACUUGAUUUGGCCUUCCAGCAUGGGAUGUCACGACAAUAUGAUUACUCGAUAUUCGAAUCAGUCUCAGCUUAUGAAUUCCAGUUCCCACACCCAGUUUGAUACCACCUCUUUUACUCAGCCCGACCAGCAGGUUAACCUAUCAUAUGAUGAUAGGAUUAGGGUUGCCCUCGGUCCACCUCUGUCAUCAUCAUUCCAAGCGGGAAACUCGUCUAUUCAGCAAGCGAAUCUUAAUCCUUUUGAGGACUGUUCCUGUAAUCGGGUGGAGGGUGUUGAUG
rnacentral:lncRNA from 1 species